UUUGCUUUGAAAGACAACAAGCAGUUGCUGGAAAUUGAGUUUCCCACUUCUGGUCUUGGAUCAGUACCAGGUGAUGGAGAGGGAGGAAUAGAAAUGACAGAGAGUAUGCAACUAAUUCGGGAAUUUGUUGCCCGCUUUGUAGCUCCAGAAAAAUCUACACGAACUAGAAUUGUUUAAGUUUUUCUUACACCAAUUAUUCUGCAAUCCAUGCUCCUCCUUUGAUUCAAAAUUAUGAGCAGUACAUCAUCAUCAUUAUUAUUAUUAUUCCAGCUAUUUGAUGUCAGUAUUAUGAAUCCUCAUUUUUUAUUCAUUCCUGCUGAGUGUUUUAUGAGAUGGUAAAAUUUAUUUUUUAUAAAUCAUUUUGAACAAUUUCUGUACAUGUAACCUUAGGUCUCCCCCUUCUCCUUCCUAAUCUUAAGAUAUUGAUUUUAUCGUCAAAUAUGGCAUUUUUUAUCUUUUGAUGUGCAUGUUUAAAUCAUUUAAGUUUAUUUUAAAUUACUUUAUUUUCAAUAGAUAAUGCUCCAACUAAUACUAGCUAACCUCUCUCUCUCUCUCUCUCUCCAGUUCUGCUUCCUCUCCUUUUUUCCUCUCUAUAAUGUUUCUCUACUAUAGAAAGUUAUUCCCAGAUUAUUUCUCUUUUUUGGCCACUUCUGUCUUGACCCCAUUGCAAGCAUGGCAGAAUCUUGAGUUA